rnacentral:rRNA from 1 species
GACGAACGCUGGCGGCGUGCUUAACACAUGCAGGUCGAACGAAGAGCGAUGGAAGCUUGCUUCUAUCAAUCUUAGUGGCGAACGGGUGAGUAACGCGUAAUCAACCUGCCCUUCAGAGGGGGACAACAGUUGGAAACGACUGCUAAUACCGCAUACGAUCUGACCUCGGCAUCGAGGAUAGAUGAAAGGUGGCCUCUACAUGUAAGCUAUCACUGAAGGAGGGGAUUGCGUCUGAUUAGCUAGUUGGAGGGGUAACGGCCCACCAAGGCGAUGAUCAGUAGCCGGUCUGAGAGGAUGAACGGCCACAUUGGGACUGAGACACGGCCCAGACUCCUACGGGAGGCAGCAGUGGGGAAUCUUCCGCAAUGGACGAAAGUCUGACGGAGCAACGCCGCGUGAGUGAUGACGGCCUUCGGGUUGUAAAGCUCUGUUAAUCGGGACGAAAGGACUUUUUGCGAAUAGUGAGAAGGAUUGACGGUACCGGAAUAGAAAGCCACGGCUAACUACGUG